GGAGUUUGAUCCUGGCUCAGGAUGAAUGCUGGCGGUGUGUUUUAGGCAUGCAAGUCGAGCGACGCAUCUUCGGGUGACGGAGCGGCAGACGGGUGAGUAACGCGUAGGAAUCUACCCUUUAGUGGGGAAUAGCCCUCCGAAAGGAGGUGUAAUACCGCAUAAUCCCUCAGGGGAAAAGGUCUUAACUGAUCGCUAAUGGAGGAGCCUGCGUGCUAUCAGCUUGUUGGUGAGGUAAUGCUUACCAAGGCAAUGACGGCUAGGGGGCGUGAGAGCGCGACCCCCCACAAGGUCACUGAGACACGGGGCCUACACCUACGGGUGGCAGCAACCGAGAAUAUUGCGCAAUGGGCGAAGGCCUGACGCAGCGACACCGCGUGUGGGAAGAAGCGUUUCGGCGCGUAAACCACUGUGGCAGGGGACGAAUUUUGACGGUACCCUGCUAGAAAGCACCUGCUAACUACGUGCCAGAAGCCUCGGUAAUACGUAGGGUGCAAGCAUUAUCCGGAUUUACUGGGCGUAAAGCGUUCGUAGGCGGAAAAGUUAGUGGUGGGUUAAAUCCCAGGGCUCAACCCUGGAACUGCUCAUCAUACUGCUUUUCUAGAGUGUACUCGGGGAGGUUGGAAUUCUCGGUGGAGGGGUGAAAUCCGUUGAUAUCGAGAGGAACGCCAAGGGUGAAGACAGGCCUCUAGAGUACUACUGACGCUGAGGGACGAAAGCUAGGGUAGCAAACCGGAUUAGAGACCCGGGUAGUCCUAGCCGUAAACGAUGGAUACUAGUUGUCUGAGCUUUUUGCUCGGGUGACGUAAGCUAACGCGUUAAGUAUCCCGCCUGGGGAGUACGGCCGCAAGGUUAAAACUCAAAGGAAUUGACGGGGGAGCGCACAACCGGUGGAGCAUGUGGUUUAAUUCGAUACAAAGCGAAGAACCUUACCUGGGCUUGACAUGUACCUGCUAAUCCUAUGAAAGUAGGACUCUUUCGAAGGUGGUACACAGGUGCUGCAUGGUUGUCGUCAGCUCGUGUCGUGAGAUGUCCGCUUAAGUGCGGUAACGAGCGCAACCCCUAUCGUAUGUUAAAUGAUCAUACGAGACUGCUUCGCAGCAAGCGGGGAGGAAGGAGGGGACGACGUCAAAUCAGCAUGGCCCUUACGCCCAGGGCAACACACAUCCUACAAUGGGGAAGACAAUAGGUCGCGAAGGGGUAACCUGGAGCUAAUCCUCAAACUUUUCCUCAGUUCGGAUUGAGGGCUGCAAUUCGCCCUCAUGAAGUCGGAAUCGGUAGUAAUCGCACGUCAGCAGAGUGCGGUGAAUACGUUCUCGCUCCUUGUACACACUGCCCGUCAAGCCAGCGAAGCCGGCGGUACCCGAAGUCUCUGCAAAUCGCUAGGGCCUAAGGUAAAGUCGGUGACGAGGACUAAGUCGUAACAAGGUA
rnacentral:rRNA from 1 species